GCCCCUUCCGGGACAUCCGAUAAAAUCGGAACGAUACAGAGAAGAUUAGCAUGGCCCCUGCGCAAGUAGCUACAUUGGACAAAGGAAGGAGAUAUAUCAUC